UCCUCACUGCUCGCAGUGUCCACAGGCAGCAGCAGCAGAAUCUGGGAGUUUAUUAGAUAUGUAGGAUGGCAGAUCCACUGCAGGCCUCCUGAGUCAGAAUCUGUCCUUUAAGAAGAUCCCCAGACCAAUAGGAAUUAAAUCCAAGAAGGAAGGCUUUGUAAAAUAUGGUGCAGGUCAACCACAAACAUUUCAAAGGGCACCACCAUUGAGACAACAUGGAAGUGGAGGAAACAAUUGAACAACAUUAGAGUCAAGUGAGAGUUGACUGUGAAGGGCAUGGGGAGUUUCACAGUGACUCCUGGGUUUUGAGCUUUUGUGAAGAUAACAAAAGAUGCCUCUUGAUUUUAAUUUUUCUAAUCAGCCUUCCCAAAUUUAUUAUGGAAAAUUACUUUAAGUGUUUAUACUUUCCACCUCUUCUCUGUAUGAUCUGUAUAAAAUAAAAUUACUUUACAUGA
rnacentral:lncRNA from 1 species